CGAGUGGUAGCCACUAUUAUUGGGCCUAAAGCGUUCGUAGCCGGUUUAGUAAAUUCUUGGGUAAAUCGUACAGCUUAACUGUGCGGAUUCCGGGGACACUACUAGACUUGAGACCGGGAGAGAUUAGAGGUACUUGCAGGGGAGCGGUGAAAUGUUGUAAUCCUGCAGGGACCACCAGUGGCGAAGGCGUCUAAUCAUAACGGCUCUGACGGUGAGGAACGAAACCCUGGGGCGCAAACGGGAUUAGAUACCCCGGUAGUCCAGGGCGUAAACGCUGCUGACUUGGUGUUGGAGAUCCUACGAGGGUGUCCAGUGCUGGCGCGAAGGUAUUAAGUCAGCCGCCUGGGGAGUACGGUCGCAAGACUGAAACUUAAAGGAAUUGGCGGGGGAGCACUGCAACGUGUGGAGCGUGCGGUUUAAUUGGAUUCAACGCCGGAAAACUCACCGGGGGCGACGGUUACAUGAAGGCCAAGCUGAUGACUUUGCCUGAUUUUCCGAGAGGUGGUGCAUGGCCGCCGUCAGUUCGUACCGUAAGGCGUUCUGUUAAGUCAGAUAACGAACGAGACCUCCGUCACCAUUUGCUAUCCUCUUCUCCGGAAGGGGAGCACUAUGGUGGUACCGCCACUGUUAAAGUGGAGGAAGGAGGGGGCAACGGUAGGUCAGUAUGCCCCGAAUCUCCCGGGCUACACGCGCGCUACAAAGGGCAGGACAAUGGGCUUCGACACCGAAAGGUGAAGGCAAUCCUGAAACCUGCUCGUAAUUCGGAUUGAGGGCUGCAAUUCGCCCUCAUGAAGCUGGAAUACGUAGUAAUCGCGGGUCAACAUCCCGCGGUGAAUAUGCCCCUGCUCCUUGCACACACCGCCCGUCAAACCACCUUAGUUGGGUCUGGACGAGGGUUUGUCUUCUGACACGCUCGAAUCUGGGUUCAGCGAGGAGGGUUAAGUCGUAACAAGGUAUCCGUA
rnacentral:rRNA from 1 species